AAAGCUUUGAGAAGCUAGAAGAAGGUUGGUUUGUGUUUCGGAGUCGAAUAUGACUUGAUGUCAUGUGUAUGAUUAAGUAUAAGAACUUAAACCGCAACCGGAUCUUAAAGGCGUAAGAAUUGUAUCCUUGUUAGAAGGCACAAAUCCAAAGACUCAUAUGGACUUUGGCUACACCAUGAAAGCUUUGAGAAGCAAGAAGAAAGUUGGUUAGUGUUUUCAAGUCGAAUAUGACUUGGUGUCAUGUGUAUGAUUGAGUAUAACAACUUAAACCGCAACUCGAUCUUAAAAGCCUAAGUAGUGUAUCCUUGUUAGAAUACACAAAGCCAAAGAAUCAUAUGGACUUUGGCUACACCAUGAAAGCUUUGAUAAGCAAAAAGAAGGUUGGUUAGUGUUUUGGAGUCGAAUAUGACUUGUUGCCAUGUGUAUGAUUGAGUAUAACAACUUAAACCACAACCUGAUCUUAAAAGCCUAAGUAGUGUUUCCUUAUUAGAAGAAACAAAGCCAAAGACUCAUAUGGACUUUGGCUACACCAUGAAAGCUUUGAAAAGUAAGAAGAAGGUUAGUUAGUGUUUUGGAGUCGAAA
rnacentral:sRNA from 1 species